GACGAACGCUGGCGGCGUGCUUAACACAUGCAAGUCGAACGGAAAGGCCCUGCUUGCAGGGUACUCGAGUGGCGAACGGGUGAGUAACACGUGGGUGAUCUGCCCUGCACUUCGGGAUAAGCCUGGGAAACUGGGUCUAAUACCGGAUAGGAGCCAUUUUUAGUGUGAUGGUUGGAAAGUUUUUUCGGUGUAGGAUGAGCUCGCGGCCUAUCAGCUUGUUGGUGGGGUAAUGGCCUACCAAGGCGGCGACGGGUAGCCGGCCUGAGAGGGUGGACGGCCACAUUGGGACUGAGAGACGGCCCAGACUCCUACGGGAGGCAGCAGUGGGGAAUAUUGCACAAUGGGCGCAAGCCUGAUGCAGCGACGCCGCGUGGGGGAUGACGGCCUUCGGGUUGUAAACUCCUUGCGCUAGGGACGAAGCUUUUUGUGACGGUACCUAGAUAAGAAGCACCGGCUAACUACGUG
rnacentral:rRNA from 1 species